rnacentral:rRNA from 1 species
AUUGAACGCUGGCGGCAUGCCUUACACAUGCAAGUCGAACGGUAACGGGCCUUCGGGUGCCGACGAGUGGCGAACGGGUGAGUAAUGUAUCGGAACGUACCUUUCAGUGGGGGAUAACGUAGCGAAAGUUACGCUAAUACCGCAUAUUCUGUGAGCAGGAAAGCAGGGGACCUUCGGGCCUUGCGCUGAUUGAGCGGCCGAUAUCAGAUUAGCUAGUUGGUGAGGUAAAGGCUCACCAAGGCGACGAUCUGUAGCGGGUCUGAGAGGAUGAUCCGCCACACUGGAACUGAGACACGGUCCAGACUCCUACGGGAGGCAGCAGUGGGGAAUUUUGGACAAUGGGGGCAACCCUGAUCCAGCCAUGCCGCGUGAGUGAAGAAGGCCUUCGGGUUGUAAAGCUCUUUCGGCCGGGAAGAAAUCGUAUCAGCUAAUACCUGGUGCGGAUGACGGUACCGGCAUAAGAAGCACCGGCUAACUACGUGCCAGCAGCCGCAGUAAGAC